UACGAAGGGGGCUAGCGUUGCUCGGAAUCACUGGGCGUAAAGCGCACGUAGGCGGAUCUUUAAGUCAGGGGUGAAAUCCCAAGGCUCAACCUUGGAACUGCCUUUGAUACUGGGGAUCUCGAGUCCGGAAGAGGUUGGUGGAACUGCGAGUGUAGAGGUGAAAUUCGUAGAUAUUCGCAAGAACACCAGUGGCGAAGGCGGCCAACUGGUCCGGUACUGACGCUGAGGUGCGAAAGCGUGGGGGAGCAAACGGGG
rnacentral:rRNA from 1 species